rnacentral:rRNA from 1 species
AUGAUGGUUGCAUCAUACGGAUGUGCACUGAAUGUAUGUUCAGGUUACAUCAAUGGAACUAGUAGAUUCAGAAGAAAAGAAUGCUCGUCCCUCAAGCCUCAACUGUGUAAUGGUGCCACAGACAGAUGGCACUCAUCUGUGGAAGAGAAGCCAGGGUUCCGUUUUGUACCUUGCCAACUGCAGAGUAGUGAUUGCGGAGGUGCACAGGGUCAGGAGCUGAAACUUCCAAAGAAAUCGACAUUUCUAAUGGCUCAGACUGCAACUUGCCAUCGGUUCAUGCUAUGGCACUCAACGUGUUAUCGUCUCUUAAUUUGUCUGAAGUUGGCUGAAUUUUGUUGGUGCCUAUCACUCCCUUUAGCCCUUGAGUCCAAUAUCAGAACAGAACCAAGCCUUCAGGACAGCAGCAUGGUUAAAUAUUUGCAUUGCUUCCACUAG